GACGAACGCUGGCGGCGUGCUUAACACAUGCAAGUCGAACGAUGAACCGGGUGCUUGCACUUGGGGAUUAGUGGCGAACGGGUGAGUAACACGUGAGUAACCUGCCCUGGACUCUGGGAUAACCCCGAGAAAUCGGAGCUAAUACCGGAUAGGACCUUCUCCCGCAUGGGGGUUGGUGGAAAGUUUUUCGGUUUGGGAUGGACUCGCGGCCUAUCAGCUUGUUGGUGAGGUAAUGGCUCACCAAGGCGUCGACGGGUCGCCGGCCUGAGAGGGUGACCGGCCACACUGGGACGGAGACACGGCCCAGACUCCUACGGGAGGCAGCAGUGGGGAAUAUUGCACAAUGGGCGCAAGCCUGAUGCAGCAACGCCGCGUGCGGGAUGACGGCCGUCGGGUUGUAAACCGCUUUUAGUAAGGAAGAAGGGGCUUCGGCCUUGACGGUACUUGCAGAAAAAGGACCGGCUAACUACGUGCCAGCAGCAGCCGCCGUAA
rnacentral:rRNA from 1 species